GGACCGAGAGACCAUUCUUCGGGAACGAUUCAUCUACCGCGUCUACCAUUGGAGUUAGCCCGGUAUCUAUCCCUGGCAUAUCCAGUUUGCCUCAGAGCGACGGGCUUGCAGGACCAGCCGCUAGGACUGAUUCUCAUAUGACUCCUGACAUCCCUCAAAUGCCCGCGGA